AAAUGGGGGCUCCCGGGGCGGAGAGGCGUUGGGAAUGGGAAAUGGGGGAUCCUGGAAAGGUUUGAACAGCAACUGGUGGUGUGGGCAGACUCAUAAAGUCACUUAGGUUGGAAAAGACUUCUGAGGUCAUUGAGUCCAACCUAUGGCACGCACCACCUGUUCAAUAGACCAUGGCAUCAGUGCCACAUCCAGUUUCUUCUUAAACAGCUCCAGGGACGGUACCCUCCACCUCCCCUGGCAGCCCAUUUCCAUAUCUAUUUGUACUCUCAGUGAAGAAAUUCCUUCCAACACCCACAAUAAACCUCUCCUGGCACAGCUGAGAGUUGUGUCCUCUUGUGCUAUCUCUGAUUGCCUGGGAGAAGACACCAACCCCCAGGCAGGAGGAGAAGGUCCAGGUUUCAGCCCCAUGGUAGCAGGUGCUCAGGGGGUGCCAUGCUGGGGCCCGGGCACCCCACAGGUGCUGGGGGAGGUUGUGGGAAGCUCGGUCUAAUAUCAGUGACAGAAAUGUGUGAAGUGAUUUGUGCUGUAGAAGAUUGGACGUGGAAUGGCAUCAGUGGGAGAAAAAUAAGUAGAUUGAAAGUUUCUUACCUUCAGACUAAGAAAUGGUGAAGAAUGUCAUCCAGCAACGUGACAUUGUGACAUUGCAGCUACACUGGGAUUUGGGAUGAUGACCUGCUAGGAUUGCCUCUGGGCUAGUGGUUAUUCUUUGGUAACAUUUAAAGAUACAAUUUCUUCAUGUCCAGCACAGUGUACUUCAUCUCAGUUAUAAUGAACAAGGAAAAGCUGAUCAUUGAUGGGAAAAUCACAGGUGUUGAGAUACCCCUACGUCAGUCAUGCAGGAAGUCAGGAUUCUUUCUUCAGAGAAUUUUGGAUUAAGCCUUUUUGCAAGUCUGCAAAUCUUAUCAAACAGUACAUUCAAGGAGUCAAAGGACAGGAUAGAUUGAGAAAGCAGCUGGAGAAAGCAAAACUGAGGAGAACAAAGGAGCUUGGAGCGCUGCUUGCCCCAGCCAUCAAACUGUUACAGAAACAGAACAGCAGAACAGUAGCUCACAGGAUCUGAGCAGCCACCUGAUUUUGAAAAGCUCCAUGAGAAAAAUUCAAAAUUGCUUUCCUUCCCUCUCACUGAGCCUGGUUCUUGCUUAUAUGUUUAGUUAUUCCUUUCUCAAAAAAAAAAAAAAAAAAAAAAAAAAGGAAGUGUAGUCUUCUAGCUGGAUUUAUUUACUUUCAUUUUAAAGGAGACAUUGUUUGGCAAUUUUAUUUUUCAACAGGAAAUGGUAAAUGUGCUGAUUUGUUUAAUGAAGUUGAGAUUCACUGUAGGAGUCCAAAUUCCUUUUUUGUUUUAUUCUCUGUAGAACUGAAUGUCUUAUGUAGAUAAAAUCUCAAUAAAGAUAAACCAUUCGAGCAGAUGUGAGUAAAGAGCUGAGAAUUUCUGGGCUAGCGUAGAGAAAAAUGCCUCACCGAGUCAGUGGUGCUUUAUGCUGCUUAACAGUGGUGUGGGACCUUAAUUUUUGAUCUUGUGAACAUAUUGGAAGAAAUAAUAGGAAGAGAAGGUUGGAUUUUGAAAUAAAAUAAUUUUAUUUUUGAAUGUUGGGCAUCUAAAUGAUAAACAGCAUAAGCACUUGAGCACACUUGCUUCUGACCUUGGUAAAAUUCCUGAAUGCUAAAUACUUGUGAAAGUCAGGACAGUGCAAAUGUUCAUGUAGGAACAUUAUUUCUGUUAUCUACUUUUGAAAUAGUUGUCAUGUUGUGACUUGAUAAAAUCACACUGAUCUAUUAAAACAUGUUUCUUUUG